rnacentral:tRNA from 1 species
UAUUCAAGUAGUUUAAUUAGAAUAAUGAUUUGUGGUGUCAUAGGAAUGGUUCCAUCUUGGAU